GAUGAACGCUGGCGGCGUGCCUAAUACAUGCAAGUCGAGCGAACGGACGAGAAGCUUGCUUCUCUGAUGUUAGCGGCGGACGGGUGAGUAACACGUGGAUAACCUACCUAUAAGACUGGGAUAACUUCGGGAAGCCGGAGCUAAUACCGGAUAAUAUUUUGAACCGCAUGGUUCAAAAGUGAAAGACGGUCUUGCUGUCACUUAUAGAUGGAUCCGCGCUGCAUUAGCUAGUUGGUAAGGUAACGGCUUACCAAGGCAACGAUGCAUAGCCGACCUGAGAGGGUGAUCGGCCACACUGGAACUGAGACACGGUCCAGACUCCUACGGGAGGCAGCAGUAGGGAAUCUUCCGCAAUGAGCGAAAGCCUGACGGAGCAACGCCGCGUGAGUGAUGAAGGUCUUCGGAUCGUAAAACUCUGUUAUUAGGGAAGAACAUAUGUGUAAGUAACUGUGCACAUCUUGACGGUACCUAAUCAGAAAGCCACGGCUAACUACGUG
rnacentral:rRNA from 1 species